rnacentral:misc_RNA from 1 species
GAUGAAGAACGCAGCGAAAUGCGAUAAGUAGUGUGAAUUGCAGAAUUCAGUGAAUCAUCGAAUCUUUGAACGCACAUUGCGCCCCUUGGUAUUCCAUGGGGCAUGCCUGUUCGAGCGUCAUUUGUACCUUCAAGCUCUGCUUGGUGUUGGGUGUUUGUCUCGCCUCUGCGUGUAGACUCGCCUCAAAACAAUUGGCAGCCGGCGUAUUGAUUUCGGAGCGCAGUACAUCUCGCGCUUUGCACUCAUAACGACGACGUCCAAAAGUACAUUUUUACACUCUUGACCUCGGAUCAGGUAUGGAUACCCGCUGAACUUAAGCAUAUCAAUAAGCGGAGGA